GCAUGUUGGAGGUAAUACAUCAAGUAGUUCAGAAGCCAAGAGCUGGCUGAAGGGAGAGGCAUGGAAGUUCUGGCAACUUCUGAGCCCUCAGCAGAUGUGAGCACCUGGCAGAGCUCAGGAAUUAAAAAUAAGAACAGAGAGAUAUGGUAUAGUUUGAUAUGAGCAUCAACAGGCCCUCCUGGAGGCUGCAAUGUUAUAGUGUCUACAAAAUAGGACUUCUAAGACUAGGUUGAUUGUAUUUGGUGAAGGAAAAGAAUGAUCAUGUAGGUAAGCAUUGCCUUAAUAAGACUGCACUAAGGAAGAGGAAUCCUCUAAACAAGACUGUGUUGUGGAAGGAAUCACCACACAGAAGGUUCUGCGUAUGGCAGGAGACCAAUAAACAGACAACAAAUCUAACAGGCUUAAAUAGAGUGGGCCAAGAAGAGCAAUCUGUUGGCUGCAGAAUCUUAGUAGAGGCAGAUCAUUCAGGAAGGCUGAACUCCAGUUAAGGGUCAAAUUUCUCUAUGAUCUUUCCUAUUAGUUUCUCUGUGUACGUUCCUAUUAGUCACAUCAUAAGCUUGUCUAUGGUAGAAGAGAAGACAAGUCAGGACAAGUCACAUGGUAGAAAAGGAAGAAAGGGGCCUUUAUUUCUGUUCACCAAUCCAACACUCAAUUCUGAAAGUUCCAGCUUUAACCGAAUCACUGUCUACCGGAUUAGAUUGCCAGCCUAUGGCUGACUGUGCUAUUCCAGCUGGUGAUAAAAGAACAUCGUGAAUGUGUGUAGUCAAAGUGAUGGUAGUUUUAUUGGCUUUGAUUUAAGUAUCCCCUACUCACCAGGCCUCUGUUCUGAUAUCUGGGAAGUGACAACUUCAUUAAAUAAAAAGGGAAUUCAUUCAUUGACCAAACAUGUCUAGUGGGCUUAUAUGUGUUGCACAGUUAAACACAGAAUGUCAUUUGAGGGCCUGAGUAAUGAUUCAGUUAGUAAAGUGUUAGCCAUUCAAACAUGAAAAUCCGAAUAGAUUCCCAGCACUGGGUACUGAGGCUCACGACCGCAACCCUAGUGCUAGGUGGUGAGAUGAGUGGAGACAGGAGAUCUCUGAGCUAAGCCAGUCAGUCUAGUUAAGUGGUCAACUCCAGUUUUAGCAAGACACCAUUUCAAAAAGCAAGGUUGAGAGAAAAGCACUCACUUGCUGGACUAAACAGUCACACACACAGACAUAGACACACAGACACACACAGAGAUAUAGACACACACACAGACACACAUAUACACAGAGAGACAGACAUACACAUAGACAUACACAUACAGAGAGACAGACAGAAACACAUACAUAUAUACAGACAGACAUAACCCCCAUACCAUACCACACCACACAUGUACCACACACACAGACAAACUCCCAUACAACACAUCAUACAUACACCACACCCACACACACACAGAGCCAAUGCUAACUGAAAACUAUGGGAUUUGUCUCUUUUUUUUUUUUUCUAAAAAUCUCAAGUGUGUUAAUUCAGGGAUUAAUUGAUGUUCUUUUAGAAUUAAAAAAAAUUACACUUAUUUUUUUAUUUGGAUGGGCACACAUGCCAUGGCACAUAUUGGUAUCAGAUGAGAACUUGUCAGGAUCAAUUCUCUCCUACUUUGUGGGUCCUGGGAAUCAAACUCAGGAAGACCUAGGCUUGGUGACAGGAACCCUUUUCUGUUUCCUCCCUCUGCCCCUCUUCUGUCCAGUGCCUGUGACCACCUUUGUUUAUGCUUGCUCCUCUAGGGAAUCUUAGGUUCUUUCCAUUUUUUACCAUGUGGCUGUGACAGUCCCCGAUACAUAGAAGCUUUCCUGCAGGAAUGGACACUCUUUGAUUCAUACAUGCUCCUUACCUAGUGAGGGCAAGGCUGCAAGAUCCUAAACCUAUCUUUCAGACAAGCUGUGGAAUCAAUCUUAGGAGCUUUCUAGAACACUCUUAGCUCCUUUGAUGGUGACUUUUCCUCUUGCAGUGAACAAAAAAAAGUAACUUAGGGAAGCAAGGGAGGGUUUACAUCCAGUCCCAGUUGAAGGAUAUAGUCUAUCCAGGUGUCAAGAGUUAGGCAUUUGGUUACAUUGUAGCAGAGAGAGAUGAAUACUCCCCUUUUAUACAGUUUAGGACCCCAGCCCAUGGAAUGGAAUGAUGUGCCUGCAUUUAGGGUUGGUCUUCUCGCCUCAUCUAACGGAAUUCAGAAACACCUUCACAGUCAUCAUGGUCAUCUUGUAAUGUUUGUCCCUUAGGUAGUUCUAGACCCCUUGGAGAUGACAGUUUUAAUUGUACACACACACCCAUCCAUUAGGGAUUACAUAGGCAGAUUGCUUGAAGGAAGAAAACAUAGUCUAACUGACAUCCAGAGAACCUUCUGGUAAUGUCUAUCUUCCCAUCUGCAAGUGUCCAAGAUAUACAGGCCAUUUGCGUGUGUCUCCUCUACAGGUGCCAGACCAGAUGGCCCCUUGCUCAGCUGCUGGGGGCUACGAUUUGAAACUGGUAUCAGAAACUCAUUUGUUUCUGCUGCAGCUUGAGUCAUGUUCUCUCUUCAUUCAAUUUUAGACCCUUUGCCUUCUAAAUAGACUGCUUGAUGGUUGCUAGGCAACUAUUGUUGAAUACACGCGAGAGGCAUUAAUUGUGCGAACAUUAAAACAAAACCAAACAGGGAGAAAUUGUUUAAAACCGAGGACCCUACCACACUUAAAAUAGGACAUUUACUUCUUAGAUCCCCGUCCAGAAUAGGGUGGCUGCAGGCUGUCACAGGAUAAUAGAAGUCACAAAGAAAAAAAAAAAAAAAGGACCAUUCUCCACCUCUGUGUCUUUCUCCUCAGCUCCUUUGCUCAUACACACCAUAUACACGUAAGUAGCCUCGUUACAAAACAAAGCCUCAUACAGAGAGGCAGGGGGACUCCUCUUAUUGAGUCCACUCUGUUUUUCCUGCAUCGUGGCGCCUCUCUUCCCACACUUCGUCCACACAUGUGUGUUUCAUCGUGGUACAUCCUCCGGGCAGGACAACUUGUGGCUCAUCAAUUGUUACACUGAGCUUCAGAACCCACUGGACUUAUCACAGAGCGAUCAUCUCUCCCUCCGACCCGAAUGGAAACAAAAAGAACUUUUCUAUUUUCCACAUCAAAGACUCAGCUUUUCCGCUGAUGCCAAAUGUUCUCUGCUUCUUACCAGUAAAUGUACAUUUUAUUUUACAGCAAGCCCCUCCCCCCCAUACACUUACUGUUUUCUUUUUCUUUUUUCUUUUUUCUCUUUCUCCUUUCUUUCUUUCUUUUCUUUUCUUUUUUUUUUUUUUUUACAUUCUGAUGUCAUGACUGGCCACAAAACCUUCUAUAAAUCAAAGCCAAGUAUUUAAAACUGAGCAAAGCCAGGGGUCUGUGACAAGCAGAUCUCAGUCAUCUGCUAAUAUUAAGUGGUGAAGCCAUGGAGGAUGGGUUGGCUUGACUCAUCAAUCUCGUAUCCUUUUUACUAUCGGGCUCACGUGGGUGAUCAUUUCCUCAUGUACAAGAGAUUCGGGGCUCUGAUCGGUGUCAGCCACAUAAUCACUAGCCAAUCUUCUGGUUGCUUUUCUGACUCCUAGGUCUCAGGCCUUACACGCCAUUUACACUGUUCACGACUACUCUCUUGUCUUGGUUUUGUCUUUCCCUGAGAAAUUACUUUGGAGAAAAACACUGAGGAUAAUUAAGCCUGACACACAACAGGAGGUUAUAAGUUAUUGGGGAAGAGCAUGCAUAAAGAAGUAUAAUCUCCAAUUUCACUAUUGCUUGUGACAGCCACAGAGAGUGAGAGAGGCCAUGGGUUCCCUGGAAUAGAGAACAGUCUGUGUGUAAGGAUUGGGGAGGGCUGAGGGGAAGAAGGAAUUAAACUGAAGGUGAGAGCAUCCGAGCUCUGGAAUAUUCUGGAAAGAUAGACCCUCGCCCUCUCUGUCCAUGCCAAACAUGGGAGGCGUUGUAAUCCUCUGUAGGUGUCGGAUGUUAGGCACUUCGCCAUCUAAGUCCUCUUGUAGUAUACUCGGUAGCUGGGUAUUGCCAAUUGCUAUGGUUAAUAAUGCUAAAGAGGAGGAACCCGAGACACAGACACUAGGAGCAAGAGGCAACGGUCAGUGAACCCACCUCAGACCCACAAGCAGUCGUCAGUUACUGCCUUGGCUCUGCCAUCUUCCUCUUUAUUCUUUUCUGGCUUUGAGACAAGGUUUUGCUAGGUCCCUAGCCAGCCUGGAACGUGCCUCAAACUUGAAGUGAUCCUCCUGCCUCUACCUCACAAAAGCUGGGAUUAAAGGUAUGUAUGCGUCUUCUUCAGCUCUCGCUCUGUGCUUCUUCACUCUACACAGCAGCCUGGCUUGAUAUGCAAGCAAGCGGGGCCUUAUUUAAAGCAGACCGCAAGGGCAACUGGCGUAUACUUCCUAUACAGUUCCUCUGUGAAUUUAAGAUAGAUUAAGCUCAGUUUAUUCACUGCUAGCUUGGAUCAGUGAGCUACACGCAAAGGAUAUCAAGCAUCCCAAUAUAUCUCUAGUGAGAUUGUGAGAGUUGUAUAAAGGGACCAGUAAGGGUUCUUGGAGUGUCACAGAGACACUGACCUCAUGGAGUCAUAGGGGAAGAGAUCUAGGAAGAGCGAUGCUCCAAUUAAAGUCUGCAGGAAGAAAGAAGUCACCACCAGUCUGGUGGGUCAGAUGAGUGAGUUUCUUUUUUAGGAAGCAUGCAUGUACAGGUUCUAGCCUGAUGGAGGACAACAUACAUUAAGAUCUAAACAGAGGUCCCAACUUUCCAGGCUCUACAGAACCCAAGGGAGGCACCUCUGUCCUCUUACUGCAAGAUAAACACAUCAGCUAGUGAGGAGCCUCAUAUCACAGGCCUACAGAAGGGAGACUCAAGAUGACAGAUAAGGGAUGGAGCAAGAUGUAGCUUGGUGUACAGCCUAGAAAAGUGGGGGACAGAAAGAAGAAGAAACUCAGCGUCCUGGCUACUCAGGUAGGAAAGGCUUCUUCUGGUUCCCAGUUUCAGAAGGACUGGAAUCCCAUCAUCACUGUGGGAGCAGGAGAUACUUGUAAAACCUACUGGAAAAUGAAACCACAACUCAAGCUCAUAGAAAGAGGCGACUGACCAUAGAGAACACUUCACAUCUUUAAUAUGCUCCCAGGACUAUGCAGAAGAAGAUCACUGGGACCUGAUGACACAGAUGGGCUCCACUCUACUUCCUCUCUGUGCAGCUUUAGUUCCAGCCCUGUUCCACGGGAGUUGCCAAAUGUGAGGCUUCUGUUCAACCCUUAAAAAGAGAGCUGCAAAAUGAAACAGGAAAGCAAGACUCUGCCUUCUGACCAAUGAACGCAGACCAUACACACAAGGAGACAGUGACCACCACCCGUGACCAGCGUGCUGCUUCCAGAAAGAACCAAAGUAGAGGGGAAAAGUUCUUAUUGUUGUGUUGUUCAUUCCACAGUCUGUUUUUGUUUUUUGUUUUGUUUGUUUGUUUGUUUGUUUUAUGUUGGGUAAAAUGUGAAAGCACAGGGAAACAGACUGAAGUUGUAUUUUCUUUCAGUUUCCCGAUACUGGUUCACUAGGUAGCCCAGGAUAGCCCUGACCCAAGAUCUUCCUUGGUGUACUCACUCAUUUACAGCUAACCCUUCACUACCUGUCUGCUAAGUAGACACUAAAGCAGUUGUGAUUUAAGAUGGAUAGAGGCAACUCCUCAGGCGAAGGCCACCAGGAAGUAUUGAGGGAGGGGAAAGGAGUGGAAUUUGUUCCCCACAAGUAAAAGAGGGCAAUAAAAGAAAAGCUGAAUUCUUUUCAAACAAUUGAAAUACCAACAAGAACUGGGGAUAGUUGAUCCAUUCUGUGUGAGUUUAUUAUAAGAAUGGGCUGGGCAGUGGUGGCACACACCUUUUAAUCCUAGCACUUGGGAGGCAGAGGCAGGUGGAUCUCUGAGUUCGAGGCCAGCCUGGUCUACAGAGUGAGUUCCAGGACAGCCAGGGCCUUACAGAGAAACCCUGUCUCAAAAAAAAAAAAACAAAAAAAAACAAAAAAAAAACAAAAAAAAAACAAAAACAAAACAAAAACAAACAAAAAAACAAAUAAGAAUGGAAGCAGGAUAAUGUUAGUGAACACCAUGGCUUAUCUGCGCAUUCAAAUUUAAUUUACAGAAAGUAAUGGUUUCUUUUUUUCCCCAAAGAUUUAUUUAUUUAAUAUAUAUGAGUACACUGUCACCGUCUUCAGACACCCCAGAAGAGGGCAUCAGAUCUCAUUUCAAAUGGUUGUGAGCCACCGUGUGGUUGCUAGGAAUUGAACUCAGGACCUCUGGAAGAGCAGUCAGUGCUCCUAACCACUGAGCCAUCUCUCCAGCCUAUGAUUUCUUAUAAAGUGAUGGAGCAAAGAUAAAAUUGGCCUCUUUUAAGCACAGAAUCCCAUGUGACCAUGGUGGUCCCCUGAAGAGGUAACUGCAGAGAAAAUCUCUUCUGGAGAAUUUUGCAUACGCUACUACAGAACUGCACCUAAGUAAGACACACCUCUAUUGUGCAAUGCCCUCAAACUUUUGAGGUGUUUGCUAUCACGGCCCCAUACAGGUUAUUCUAACACACAUUGAGAAUUCUUGCUCGUCCCCUCCGAUUUCAACAGCAUCUCCAAACUGCGGCCAUGCCAGCAUAAUAUCCUUGCUCUUGGAAUCAUUAAACACGUCAUGGAUGCGAAAUUUUCUGCUGCAACUGUGUCUCACCACUAGCCCACACGCUUAUUCUCACAGUAACCCAUACAGCAAUCCACCGAAGCCCGGGAACUGUCUGUUCUCUCUCAGAGAAACACUCAGUGAUACGUGAGUACGCUCAGAGUACCUCAGGCUCAGGAUCCUGACCAAGUAGGAUCGCUGCUCCUUCUGAUCAAAGAGAGGUCAGAGAAAGGUCAAGGCAGGUGGCUGGCAGGGCAACGCCUACAGGGGUAAAUUUUAGAAUCAGAAGAUUCAAAACAUAUUAAAAAGCACUUCAAAAGAACUCUGAAGGCUUUCUGUGGCCCUUAGAGUCGGGUAUGGCUCAUGCAGUCCCGAGUCUGUCUCAAUGCCUUGUAAUAGAUAACCUGGUGUCUGGGAGUUAAGAAUUAAACCACUCACUGCUGUUACCUAUUAAUAUGUCUUCACAUACGUUUUCUUUACUCAAAACCUUCUGCUGGGCUUGGGGAGAGUGUAGGAAACAGCAGUUUCCAAGGUUUGUUUUUCUGAAGGAAACACAAACGGAAACUGGUAUCAUUAGCUAAUUGCACCUACUGUGUGCUGGUGCCUGCAACCCAGAAGGCUAGCCAGAUCCUCCCCAAGUCCCGUGACACCCGCAUUGUCGACCUUGCUUUCCAGAUAAGCAAUCAAGGUGCACUUAAAAUGUCAGGACCUUAUAUUGUGUGAAACAAAGAAUGCAAUACCAGUCUGGCUUAAAAAAAACUCUACCCCAGGGAGGGGCGGUGGGGAGGAGACUGUUCGCCCAGUUCUCGGAAAGAAGCGACUUUGUAUCUGCCUAUUCUGCCAAAUCUCCGAUGGAAAACACAGAUACAGAACAAUGGGAACGAAAUGGACAUUGUCAUCUUUAAAGAACAGAAGAAGAAAAGGAUGAAAGGGCGCAGGUUCCAUACGUGGAAAAAAAAAAGCCUGUAUUUAUACACACAGCCAUCACAUGACGGGUAAAUUAGCCAGGUAACCAGGUCUGGUUUUUUUUUUUUCCCCUACUAGAAAAGUAUAUGUAUGUUUUCAUCACGCUUUGAACUCUCCCUUAUUAUCAGCAUUACUAUGAAAACAAUGUUUUAUUUCUUAUGGAGAGAAUAGGCCAGGCCCAGAGCUUUGUUUCGGCAGGGCCUAAUAGAAUGCUGUCUUUGUGAGCCAAAGGAAUUGACUGGGUUGUUGGAAGGUGGGGCCUGUGUUCUUCAACCAUUAGUAAGUAACCAUGUUAAGGGAGCUGAGAAUUACAUCGGGCCAGUUGCCUAGGAAAAGAAACAUUACAUGAGCAGCUAAAGUCAUCUCCUUAAUAACCUGCUACCUAAAAAAAAGAAAAAUAAAUAAAUAAAAAAGGCAGGUUACACACUGGCUGCUAAUUAAAGAAAAAAAAAAAAGAUAACGCAGGGCGAGUUCCGUCUGGACUUGUUUACGGACCUGAACCCUUUAUGUCUCUGCUGUAAAUCUGUAGCAAGAUAAAUAUUCCCUUGAGUAAUAGAGACAUUAGCAAGUGCCAGUAUUACUAUGUAAAGUUUGUCACACACACACACACACACACACACACACACGCACACACACGCACACACGCACUAAUGCCCCCACUGAUCCUCAGAUCACCUGGUUUGCCUUUAAGCUCUCUCGAAAAAGUUUUUCCAAAAUGAGCGACAGAUACUUGAUUACAAAUUAGCCUCCCUUUCCCAAAAGUUCGCAGCCAAAUACCCCCACGAGAUAGCCCUCCCCUCCUCCCCCAGCCCCCUCCCCUCCAUGACAGGGUGUAUCGGGAAGUGCAGUAACAAAUACGAAUCAACCUUUGAAAGUACAUAGACCGCUCAUGUGGACUGAAAGGAGAGAUUUCAGGAGGGGCUGAUUAUAAAAGCCAAAUGUUUGCUCAGCCUGCUAGAUACAGCUUUGAAGUCGGGGGCCCAACCUUGCAGAGCUCAGCUAGUUCCUGGGAAGAUAAGGCAGAGGCAUCUGCAUACACUUAGGUGCUCUGCAAGGUGGUAGAGACUACUCCUUGUGAUUAGAGCCCAAUCAGGUGAGGCAAAUGAUCUCGAACUCAAAGGACCAAGGGUUGCAGGAGCCAGGAGCAUUCCUCCCCACCCCCCAUACAGCUCUCCAAAGGGGCAUUCCUACAGUAAGCGCCUUGGAGAAUUUGGGAGGGUGGGGAGUGGUCAGGGUUGAAGUUUACACAGGCAGGGACAGGGUUAGAUAAGGAAAAAGCACAGGCUGGUUUAACAGUCCCCGUGUGCUGGGGAGCCGGAGAUUCCCCUCCGCAAAUGCGUAAACAGCUAUGAAGAGCACAGAGCGGUCGAGAACCAGAAACCAUUGGAAAGACCAACAGUAAUCGUUAAAGCAUGAAGCACCUCAACAGAGAGUCACUCCUCAGCCAGAUAAAAGUGGAUUGCGUCACAAAGCUAUAGUUACAUCAUUCUCUAUAAAAUCCAGUAUGGAGGUGGGCUCCCGAAGAGUACAUUUUGAAUGGGGGGGCGGGGGAUAUCUGAGUACCAAUCCCUGCGCAUCUACACAGAUGCACCCGUGUAAAUGCCGGAGGACGUACCUGGACAUGGAAAGAAAAUCGGCAAUCACGACUUUUUUUCUAUUUUACCUACAUGUCCCCAAAAUGACCACAGAAACAACUCACUCAAAUGACUAUUUUAAAAAUACAGGCUGGAGUUAUAGUUUACUAGAGGUAUCCCUUCAACCUUUGUGUGUUAUCCAGUAGUGGUGGAUUUAUCAAGGAAAGGGGUGGCUAUUGACAAAGAAUUCAAAAAUAUAAAAAUGUAUAGUAUAAAUUAUUAAAGAUAUAAGUGGUGGAGGAUACUCACAGGAAGAACAUGCACAGACCAGGGAUUUUUAGGAAUGAAAGAAAUUAGCACUUCCUAUCAAUACGGUGUAAAUAGAGGCAUCCAGAGAGAAAGAGAAGAGGAAAGCUCACACAGACAGCUAUGUUUGUUUAGCCCCACUGUGCACAAAGCACUUUGCAAAGCCUUUGAAAAUCCACUUCUGUUCAGACCUGUCCUAAAUAAAUAUAUUUAUUAAUAUGGGCUAAAAGCCCAAAUUUCAGUCUUCCAUUGCCGCAACCUGCAGGAACCACACAGCCUUAACUAGAUAAUGUCAGAGGAAAGUUGGGAAGGGAAUCUUUGACAUUUCGAGAAACACAUGUUUUGCAAGAAAGUCUCCCAUUGAAAGCACUCUGAAGGAUACAGGAGCUGUUUAAAAGAAUUGACUUCGAUCUUAAAGCAUAUUAAGACGAAAUGCCGAGCUCAAGUAUGGCCUCAUGUCAAGUCACCUGCGGGUCAGGUGUGUUUUGGAUUCUUUUGGGUUUUUUUGUUUGUUUUUGUUUGUUUGUUUGUUUGUUUGUUUGUUUUGAGACAGGGUUUCUCUGCACAGCCCUGGCUGUCCUGGAACUCACUUUAUAGACCAGGCUGGCCUUGAACACAGAAAUCUGCCCACCUCUGCCUCCGGAGUGUUGGGAUUAAAGGCGUGUGCUAACACGCCCAGCUGUGUUUUGGAUUCUAAGAUGGCAAGGACUGCGAUAGAGGUCUAUCGUGGACACACACAGUGGCUAGACAGGAGAGGCUGAAAGGAAGCAUCAUGACGUGAAAGACAUUUUACAGAAUGGAAUUAACAGCAAGGUUGAGUCAAACCUCAAAAAAAAAAAAAAAGUACCUGAAGAAGGGUCAGAGUUGCAUUUCUUAUUCAAGAGAUGUUCUACAGAUUACGGUAGGCCAACUGGAUUCCAUCAGGAACUGAAUGUGAACUGUCCCACAGAGGACCUUGGUUCAGUGUUUGGUCCCCAGACUUCACAUUAUUUUAGGAGGCUAUGGGAAUUUCACGGAGGUAGGGAUGAAAUAGAAGACAUAGAUCAUAGAUCAUAGGGACAUAUCCUGGGGUUGCACUGUCUUUGGCCGCUUCCUGUUUGGCCUUCUGCUUCCUGGUUGGCUAUGAUGUCAUUGCCAAAGGGAGUGAACUGAAGAUGGAUCUAACCCUCUGAAAUCAGGAGCCAAAUAGAUCUCUCUUCCCAUACAUUUUGUCCUAGAGACAAGACUAAAAUGCUGUCACCAAAGGGAACUGGCAAUCACCACUCCCAGUUUGGAGGUUUGUCUUUCAUCCUGGGGAUGUAUGAGCUCGUAUCAAGCCAAGGGUCUCCCCAAAGUAGGUAUAAGAGACAAAGGGAGUCCAGGAGACGGGAGUUCAAGGACAGCCGAAUCUUUCUUUCAUUUUCCCAUCAGCUGACCAUUCCACAGUCAGUCAUUGUGAAAUUACCAUGUCUCACGAAUGAAGCCAGAACAAAAAUACGAGCUGGUUUCCUUCCCCAUCGUGGUUUUAUGGGAGAAAUAGCCACAAAGAAUUUGAUUCGUGAAAAGGUACCAGUGAAAAGUAAAACCCAGAAAUGCCGACAGGUUGGACAAAAUGCAAACACAAGGACAUCAGAAUUCAGAAAGGUGGUUGAUGUGAGCUAAACUGCCACGCUUGGCAAGAUGAAGAGGACCCACCAUACUCCGAUGGCUCUGUUGAAGUAGGUGAAAUAAAGCCAGAGGUGGGGCUGCCCGUCACACAUGGAUCCUUACUGAGGUAAAACCCAGCUUGUCCAGGUCACACUUUACACUUUGUGGUGUGCUGUCACAGGGACGUCAGCUGUUGGAAAUAUUUCCCAAACGGCAUGUUGAGGAUUCAUAAAUAGUGAUGUUUAUUAAGUAACAGCCCGAACUUGGCAUUACAUAGAAAGGAGAAUCAACUCAAAAGUGGGCAGUAAACGAGAGGAGGAGGUGGUGGUAGAGAAAUAAUGUUUAUGUCUCAGAGGAGUGGAAAAGGCAAGACUGAGAACUAAACCUCACUAGGGUCACAGCAUCUCUGGAAACAGCAGAGCAUAGCCAGCUGUUGGAAAUCUGACCAUACGUGAUGACCAGACUGCAGUCUUUCUAUGCCUGGAAGCCACUUUGACUCUGGCUGGAGGAUUCUUAGCAAAGCAGUACCUCACAAUAUAAAUGAGUAAACCACCGUAAUAUAAACACUAGAGAUGCGUCCUCAAAUGAAUAACCAGGAUGGUGAAGAAGCUCAAAAACCACAUCCGGAGAAAGAAUUGAAAACAUUUGGGGUUGUUUAGCUAAAUAGAGAGAGAACUCUAAAGACCGUCAGAACUGAAGGGGGAAGAAAUGUUAACUGGACCAACCUCUUCCACCUGGACAACCUCACAAAGAAUUCCAAAAAUGGUACCCCACUCCUUGUUUCUGUGUUAGAUUUCAUAAGGGAAGACAGAAUCCUUGAUAUUCUAAUGUCACUUUUUGUUUUGCUUCUCAAACUAAGAAACUCCCAGGCUUAGACUUUCUCUCUAGUCGGCUGCCCAUCUUCAAAGGAUGUAUCAACAUAGACCAUUUUGGAGACCUUUCAGGUCCAUGGGAAUUCCAAACAGAAAGAUUUUGGACAGGAGUGCUCUCCAUAUGGGAUGGCGGUGUGUGUGGAAAGCAGAGGCAACCAAUGCCUGUCAAUCAACUCAGACACUAGGAGACUUGGCAAAGACUUCCUUCCCAGCUGGGUUCAGGAAACAUAGAUGAAUAUUUCUUAUUGGAAAACUAUUUACUGGUCCUUUCCGUCACGGCUUCAGGAUAACUUCAACUAUUUAGCGAGAGAGUAAAGUUGAAUUUUUGAUUUCUAAUAAAAUAAAAAGUCAUUUUCUCCCCUCCCUUUUGAAUUGCUAGUUUGUGGGGUUCUGGUUAUUCUUAGAUAAUAUUCUGAACGUCUUGGUUGUCGAUUUAUGCAUGUUGAAAUGCAUUCAUUUAUAAAACUUACUUAUUUGGGGUAUGUGUGUGUGUGUGUGUGUGUGUGUGUGUGUACAUUAGACAAUGUGGGAGUCAGUUCCCUCCACCAUAUUCCAUAUUCAACUUAGCUCGUCGGGCUUGGCAGCAAGCCCCUUGACUUGCUGAGCCAUCUUGCCAGCCCCUUCAUUUCCUUUAGUGAGACAGAAUCUUCCUAUAUAGCUCAGACUGCCCUUGAAUUCACUCUGAGUCCAGGUUGGACUUGAACUCAGGACUUUCGAACUUUAACCUAAAGGGCUUCUGGAUUAUCACUCACAAUGUCAAGAGGCAGCUCCUGGACGAGCCAUAAUGACACUGUAGCAGCGUGCUUCUCAGGGAUUAACUGCGCUAUGAUCAGAGUCUGUAAGGAAUCAAAGUCAGCCCAGACUGCUGUCAAACCCUCAUAGGAGAAUCCCCCAGAGGGGUCUUUCUAGUUUGAAAGUAAGGACAGUAGAAAGGCCAAAGUGUUUCGAGCAGUCCUGUAGGGCUUCUCAAAUUAUUCACCAAUAGAAUAUUGCAAACAUAUAUCAUCUAAGAAAACUCUCACAUUUCAGUUGGAAACAGUUCAGCCAAGCAACUGAGAAUAUAACACAUUCUGCCAGGGUAAUUUCUUAUCCCAAUAAGCCCAUAUAAAAAACACACAACCAGUUAUUAUAUUUAUAAGCUAUAUACCUAGAUUGGGCAGAUCUAUCACUAUACUAAUUCAUUCCCCAGCUAUGAGACCCCGUGCUACUUGCGGCUUCUCUGGGUCAUCUAGCUCUGUUCCAUCCUCCUUCCACCUCCUCUUGCUCUCUCUCUCCUCCAGUCCCACCUUUGCCUUACACUACCCAGUCGUCAGUUCUAGCCUCUAUUUGAUCAGUCAGAAUGGAGAGAAGGUUCAGUGAGAUCACCUGAGUACAGGUCCACUUCUCAGUGGGGGCAGCAGAAUUAACAUCAAAACACAAACAGCACCAGGGCAACCCACAACACAUUCAGACGGCAUUUCCAGAAGACCCCUUCCUACAAGAAGAGAGAGAAGAAAGAAGAAGGGGUUGGGGGGGUUCUUAAUGAGGAGCCACCAGUCCUAAUGAGUUGAUUAGACAACUCACGCUCUUAAUGUGUUUCAAAUGGGAAACCCUCAAGCCCUUUCUUUAUAGAAAAGAGUAAAAGCUGUUGCCUUGAGUACUCCAGGAAGCCACUGGACACUCCAUACUCAGAGGUGACUACAAAGAACCAUUUGUAAUACCAGGCCUCAAGAAUUUCUAAUCAACAACUGCAGUCAAUUUUUAACAAAGAACCCGAAAGUUUCCGUUUAUAACUGGCAAUGGAUGGCUCAGCUUGUUUUAAUACCAGUUGUGUGAUUUAUAAUAUAAAGAAAAGCAUGCACAUGUAUCAUAUAUCUCAAUUGCAGAUUAUGUAUUAGGUAUUACUAUGUGUAAUAUUGUCAGUUUACGUAUGUAAAUAAUACAAUGAUUAACCAUAUAUAGUACAUUACAUUGAUAGGUUUGUGGCUAGAUUAAAGAUAAACAGGAGCAUUAUAUAAAUAUAUAAUUUAUACAUAGGAGAUAUAUAUACACUUUGGUGUGUCUUCUAUUGGGAGAGGCAAUGUGGAGAGAAACCCUACUCCUUGUCCGGAGAAACUGUGAUUAGGAAUACCAGAAACAAACCACGGUGCUCGCAUGGUUCCGCAUAGCUCCUGAUCAGACACACCUUCCAUCUGAUUACGCUAACACUGAACAAAAGUAACUUAGACUCCAGGGUUACAAACGCUCCGGAAGCCCCGAGGAGUCUGUCCUGGCUUGGUCUCCUCCCAAAUCCAACAGCCGAAAGCCAGGUGUAUAUUAUUAUUCAUUUUAACAACAAAGAACCUGAAGGCAGGAGCAUGUGCUGAGCUCAGGGGUUUUUCAGAGAGCAGCAGAUCUUUAGGUAGAGGGAACAGCCUCCGCACGGCGCAUGCUCGCUCGGUUCCAUCCACUACCCAAAGUAUAGAGGAAGCCCCUACAGGGGCAGGGAAAGGGGAGGUCACUCUCUGCCCAAGUAGACACUUAGGGGACAUUAAAUUCUUUUUUUUUCAUUUAUAUUUCUCUCUCUCUCUCUCUCUCUCCCUCUCCAUCUAUCUCUCUUGCUCUCUUGCUCUCGUUCUCUCUCAUUCAUUCAGCCUUCCUGAUUUUUUCAUUAAUUAAUUAAUUAAUUAAUUCAUUCAUUCAUUCAUUCAUUCAUUCAUUCAUUCAUUCAUUCAUUUACUUUACAUCUAGCUUUCAGCUUCCCGACUCCUUCCUCUCCUCCCAGAGCCCACCUCUCCCUUUUCCCCAUUUUCCUUUCCUUCUCCCCUCUUUUUAAUAUUUUUACUCUAAAGACAUACUUAGAGACGAAACCAUUCAUAACUGCCCAUCCACAAACAGUUAGCAGUAUGGUAAUUGACAUCGAGUCUGUUACAAAAGGGGGGGAAAAGGAAGAAAAUGCUGCUUUAAUAACCUUGGCCUAAAACACAUUUUGCUGUAUGCCUCAAAGGGUUUCAAUAAAAAAAAAAAAAUCAACCUGUAGAGACAUAUUUUCUUGGCUUAAACAACAAUCCGAAGCAUAUAAAUGUAGUCCAACUAUAAUGACAUAUUUAUAGGCCAAUAAAGCUUACACUGUGGCUUUCAUACCUCACUUAAAGGAACUCUGUGAGAAACAGUGUUGUAUAAAAUAAUUUGAUUUUUCCCCCCAAACGAUAGCCCAAGGAAUAAAAAAUGCAACUUUGCUAUGUUUAACUGAUAGUAUUUAUAUUCCUAAGUUGCUAAAAAUUUUUGUAAAAUGAAAUAAGUCUUCAUUUGACGACUCUCAAGUGCCACACCAAAUAUGGGCAUCAGGUCCACUUUAUUACAAAGCUAAGUACUGUAAUUCUGAAGACAAAAAUAAAUAACUAGAGGCUUGUGUAGUGAAUGAUUUAAUCAGUCUGAUUCUUCUGGACGAACAGGUUUUGUGUUCGUUAUGCUUAUGAAUAACACAUUCCUUAACCCUUCUGUUCCCACACAGAGAUCUUUCUUCACUUUAAAAACAGCAUAAAAGCAAACAAACAAACAAAAAACACCCUCCAGUGUGAAAUGGGCUGAAGAAGUAACCCCCACCCCAGGAGAGACCCAGUUGGUGCUGGUCUCAGGCUGAACUUGCUUGGGGGGGGGGCAAUAAAUGUGCUGCAUCACGUGGAAGAAAUGUUUAUUGUUUUAAUGAUUAGCCUUUUCACUAGCUGCAUCUGUAGUUGUUGUCAGCAGCCACUUAAGAGUCUUAAAUGAAGACUCUGGAAGGUUUUUAAAAACAAAUAGGCUGCUCUCAAGGGAAAGGUGAUUUAAAGGAAACAAAAACAAAACAAAACAGAAAAACAAAAAACAACAACAACACCAGCAAACCAGGCAAGGAUGGUGAGGAGAGUUGGAGUGGCCACUGGGAGGUACCACUGGGCAGAGUUUCCCUUUGUGCAGUUUAAUUUGUUGCCAGACACACAUUUGUGCUGUUUUAAUUCUGUUCUUUCACUAUUCACAGAGAGACGGGAAAUGACACAAACUGGCAUAAGAGGAAACUUACUAACUCUGAGCAAGAGAAGCACUUUCAUUUAGCUGGGUUUUAUAUUAUAAAAAAAAAAAAUCUGCCUUUGAGAGUCAAUCUAAUUCUUUCGUUAUUAUUGAUGUUUUUUUUAAACAGGCUAGAGGAACUGGGCUUUAAAAAAAAAUAGCACACUCAAAGUUUGACUUUCUCCACGGAGAGGUGAGUUUUUCCAUUCUUUGCUAGCUUCCUGGCUAGCGGGAGGGUCCUUAAGCAAUCUCAAAAGUUCAUCUUUCUUUGAUGAGAACAAUGAGGAAGGAUCUACAGAAGAAAAGGCUCUGCGAGCUGAGAGCUUCCACUCACAGUGUGGUAUUGGAGGUGGUUUUGGUGUGGCAGAGAGAGAGAGAGAGAGAGAGAGAGAGAGAGGGAGAGAGAGAGAUACAGAGAGAUACAGAGAGAGGGAGAGAGAGAAACGGAGACAGAGAUAGAGACAGACACACAGAGACAGAGGUAUAGAGACACAGAGAAAGAGACAGAGAGACACACAGAGAGAUAGAGGCACACAGAGAAAGCCAGAGACAGAAACAGAAAGGAACAGAGACACAGAGAGACUGAGAUUGAGUGAGAAAGAGAAAACUUGAGGUUAAAAAAAAAAGGCCAAAACAAUCCUUUGAUGUGACAGCCAGAGAAGGAGAGUCGGACAAUCUCUGGGAUGGGACAGUGCAUGGCCAAGAGCAUCCGCAGUGUUCCUGGUCUAAAAGCCCCCAGUCUAAAGCCUGACAAUGUACAUUCACAAACUUUAGAUCAGACAGAUAAUGGAAACUCAUUACAUUAAGGAAAGUUUUUGUUUCUCUUUGCACAUUAUUACAACACAGCGUGCAUUCCAAUUACGAAAGCUAUUUGUCUCAAAUUCCCCACAGUUCAUACCAACCCAAUAGAAUUUCAAGGCCCUACGUUCUGUCCUUAAAGGGGUGCCUCACAUUUACAAAAAGAAAAGCUAUGGGGUUUCUCUUGUUCGCCUAGAGGGUCCCUCAAUCAAUCUCCUGUUGGGUAUCUCCCUUCCCAAGCUAACCCCACAAAAGGGUCCCAAAUGACAGACUGACUGACUGACUGACAGACACACACACACAUCCCAAACCAUCUGGGAAGCCUUCUAUCAGUCUACACUUGUGGGCUUCAUCUCAGUCCCACAGAGAAGAUUCUAGGGCAGCUGCACUUAGCCAUUAGCCUGGUACUCCUUAGUAAAUCUAAAUGCCAUUUGAUUUCAAAGCCACUAAUCUACAUUUUCAAGACCAAACCAUCAGCAGCAAGUGCUUUGAAUAGUUAGACAAACCUGUUUCUUCUGGAACCACAUGAGGUGAGGGGAGGGAGGGAGAGUGGGGGUGGAAACCACAAAGAUUAUGGACUUUUUUUUUUAAAAGGGCUGUGUGUGUAUGUGUGUGUGCUCAUUAAUAAACUAUCCCCUUGAAACACAAAACAACUAUACAGAGAAACCCUGUCUCGAAAAAAAAAAAAAAAAAAAAA